CCUACGGGAGGCAGCAGUGGGGAAUAUUGCACAAUGGGGGAAACCCUGAUGCCGCGACGCCGCGUGAGUGAAGAAGUAUUUCGGUACGUAAAGCUCUAUCAGCAGGGAAGACAAUGACGGUACCUGACUAAGAAGCCCCGGCUAACUACGUGCCAGCAGCCGCGGUAAUACGUAGGGGGCAAGCGUUAUCCGGCUUUACUGGGUGUAAAGGGAGCGUAGACGGCAGCGCAAGUCUGGAGUGAAAUCCCAUGGCUUAACCAUGGAACUGCUUUGGAAACUGUGCAGCUAGAGUGCAGGAGAGGUAAGCGGAAUUCCUAGUGUAGCGGUGAAAUGCGUAGAUAUUAGGAGGAACACCAGUGGCGAAGGCGGCUUACUGGACUGUAACUGACGUUGAGGCUCGAAAGCGUGGGGAGCAAACAGGAUUAGAUACCCUGGUAGUC
rnacentral:rRNA from 1 species